rnacentral:rRNA from 1 species
UACGGGGGGGGCAAGCGUUGUUCGGAAUUACUGGGCGUAAAGGGCUCGUAGGUGGCCAACUAAGUCAGACGUGAAAUCCCCCGGCUUAACCGGGGAACUGCGUCUGAUACUGGAUGGCUUGAGUUCGGGAGAGGGAUGCGGAAUUCCAGGUGUGGCGGUGAAAUGCGUAGAUAUCAGGAGGAACACCGGUGGCGAAGGCGGCUUCCUGGACACUAACUGACGCUGAGACGCGAAAGCGUGGGGAGCAAACAGG